GCAAUUAAAGAGAUUCCCGCCUACGCGGGAAUGACUACCGACGUUAAGUUAGUAUCAUAUAUUAAUUUUAUACACUACCCCGUAUUGCUUCGCAAGCCACCCCUUCAAUAUUUGA
rnacentral:sRNA from 1 species